rnacentral:rRNA from 1 species
UACGUGGGGGGCAAGCGUUGUCCGGAAUCAUUGGGCGUAAAGAGCGUGUAGGCGGCUUGGUAAGUCCGCUGUGAAAGUCCAGGGCUCAACCCUGGAAUGCCGGUGGAAACUGUCAAGCUUGAGUCCGGAAGAGGCGAGUGGAAUUCCUGGUGUAGCGGUGAAAUGCGCAGAUAUCAGGAGGAACACCAAUGGCGAAGGCAGCUCGCUGGGACGGUACUGACGCUGAGACGCGAAAGCGUGGGGAGCAAACAGG